GACGAACGCUGGCGGCGUGCUUAACACAUGCAAGUCGAACGGUAAGGCCCUUCGGGGUACACGAGUGGCGAACGGGUGAGUAACACGUGGGUGAUCUGCCCUGCACUUCGGGAUAAGCCUGGGAAACUGGGUCUAAUACCGGAUAGGACCCUGGGAUGCAUGUCCUGGGGUGGAAAGCUUUUGCGGUGUGGGAUGGGCCCGCGGCCUAUCAGCUUGUUGGUGGGGUGAUGGCCUACCAAGGCGACGACGGGUAGCCGGCCUGAGAGGGUGACCGGCCACACUGGGACUGAGAUACGGCCCAGACUCCUACGGGAGGCAGCAGUCGGGAAUAUUGCACAAUGGGCGCAAGCCUGAUGCAGCGACGCCGCGUGGGGGAUGACGGCCUUCGGGUUGUAACCCUCUUUCAGCACCGACGAAGCGCAAGUGACGGUAGGUGCAGAAGAAGGACCGGCCAACUACGUGCCAGCCGCCGCCGUAA
rnacentral:rRNA from 1 species